rnacentral:lncRNA from 1 species
CUUACUGUAACAUACAUAAUUUGCCAAAAAAAAAUAAUUAGGAGGCUUAAUCUCCCGGCAUCCGCGUAGUUGCAUUAUCAUGUCUAAUUAAGCAGCUUUGCGGACACACCCCAGUUUGUUUUACUUUUAAAAGUUUUAACCAUGCUCUUCAUCAUUGUUACUCAUUGAUCUGCAAUAUGCACUUGUUUUCAGUAAUAAAUUAAGUUCACUAAAAAUAGCUUAUGAUAGUACCAUUUAGUGCCAUACACCAUUCUUUCAUUAUGUACUCCUCACUUCCUUGUGUCAGUUUCCAAACAGAAGAGAUAACUAAACAAAAGAAAGUUUACCAUUCAGAUAGUUCAGUAUUCAGAUUCAGGCACAACCUCUUCCAAGAUUCAGUCUAUUCAGAUAGAUUCUACAAUUUUCACUUAAUGAACAUGCAAAUAAGAGUGAUACUUAAUAUCCUCUUUAAACACAAAUUCGGUUUUACUUUCCUGGAAAGGUAUUACCUUUCUUGUUCACUCGAUAUAUAUUUUCUUCUUUGUGCAGAGAAUUCUUUGUGUUUUCAGCAAACAACACAGGAAAUUAGAAAGUAAUUGAUUCCUGCAGAAAUGUUCUACAUCCAAACAAGCAGUCCAUUAGUAACCAAAUCAGUCAACUUUGUAAUAUAUAUAUAUAUAUGCUUCAAUAAUCAUCCUUUACUUGAACUAAAUUUAAUUUAGUUCAAGUAAAGGAUGAUUAUUGAAGCAUAUAUAUAUAUAUAUAACUUGAACUAAAUUUAAUUUAAGCUCCAAAUCAGUCAACCUUUUUUUCCAUUCUUCAUUUUCCUUCGACAAAUUAGGCCCUCUAUCUUAAUCGGGGCUCAAUAAGUAACCAAAUCUCAUAAAAUGAAAUUCCAUAGUCAACAUUAGGACAACUGCAAAAAUACACUUAGAGAACCAAACUCUAUUA